rnacentral:ribozyme from 1 species
AAUAUACACCCUCUAAAUGAAUGGAUUCAUGUAACGAACAAGUUACCAAUGAAGUAAGAAAGAAGGGUAGAUUGAUAUUUGCUUGCUCGGCUCUUUUUUCUCUCUUCUUUUUGCUUG